AUGAAAAAUAGACCCAGAGAAUAUUGGUGUGGCAGAGCUUUCCAAAGCAGCUUUUCUGGCAGAAAUCCAGGUGAGGCAGGGCCCCGCAUGGAACAUGGAAUGAAGAACAUGCCUUGUUUGCUCCCUCUCACAGAUGAGGCAGGGCCCAGCAGGAGGAGAACAGGUGACAAGAGGGUGGUGGAGCAAGGCCUGGUCAAGAAGAGGACUGUCUUCCUUCCCUCCCAUUCUCCAGAAAACUAUCAAGCAUGGGGUCCUGUGGGCCUUAGCUACUCUCUUGGCUCCAGUUACAGACAAGGUCCUUUUACCUCACCCUACACUUCCCUUAUCUCUACCAAUAUAAAUAAACAUGCUGCAUUUGCCUGGGGUCUUCUUCUCCCAUCAGGAGUUAGAGCCCCAGCUGGCCCCCCACCUUUGUUUCUCUUUGUUCUUUUGUAACUUUCUUUCUUUACCUUUUCUCAAUCUCCCACCGUCAUUUCACUAGUGGACCCUUCAGCCACACAGGCCAUGGCAGGUGGACAGUCCUGUGAGUCUUGAUACACAUCUAGUUUUAUGUAGUCCACAUCACAGAACCCAGAGCAGUUCCGACACCCUGAAAUUCUCCCACAUACUUUGUAGUCAGGCCUUCAUCACACCCAGCCCCUGGCAAAUACUGAUCUCUUCUCUGCUUCUGUGAAUUUGCUUUCUCCAUGGUGUUAUGUAAACUUCAUGAUGCAUAGUGUGACCUCAUAAGACUGACACUUUCUCUGGGCAAAAUGUCUUUGAGAUUUAUCCAUGUUGCUGCUUUUUGCUGGUUUGUUUGCAUCCACCUGACAAAGGAUAUUUGGAUUCUAGUUUUGUUGACUGUAAUAAAGC
rnacentral:lncRNA from 1 species